rnacentral:lncRNA from 1 species
GGAGACUUUACAAACUCCUAUGUGGAUACCCGAACAUGGAGAAUAUACAAGGGACAGAUAGGGAUAUAACCACCUUCUGCCUACCCCACUACUGAGGCACCAUCAUAUGUGAAGGCUCCCUUGCACCCGAGCACCAUGCAUGCCUGCAUAGAAGAAAGCUAUGUACAUCCCCCCAUGGACUCUGACCCUGUAGAUUGACAAGCAUAGGACAAGGGCAAACCCGAAGCCA